rnacentral:rRNA from 1 species
ACCCGCAGAAGAAGCACCGGCUAACUCCGUGCCAGCAAGCGCGGUAAUACGGAGGGGUGCAAGCGGUUAAUCGGGAAUUACUGGGGCGUAAAGCGCACGCAGGGCGGUCUGUCAAAGUCGGAUGUGAAAUCCCCGGGCUCAACCCUGGGAACUGCAUCCGAAACUGGCAGGCUUGAGUCUUGUAGAGGGGGGGUAGAAUUUCCAGGUGUAGCGGUGAAAUGCGUAGAGAUCUGGAGGAAUACCGGUGGCGAAGGCGGCCCCCUGGACAAAGACUGACGCUCAGGUGCGAAAGCGUGGGGGAGCAAACAGGAUUAGAUACCCUGGUAGUCCACGCUGUAAACGAUGUCGACUUGUAGGUUGUGCCCUUGAGGCGUGGCUUCCCGGAGCUAAACGCGUUAAGUCGACCCGCCCUGGGGGAGUACGGCCGCAAGGGUUAAAACUCAAAUGAAUUUGACGGGGGGCCCCGCACAAGCCGGUGGGAGCAUGUGGUUAAUUUCGAUGCAACGCGAAGAGCCUUUACCCUACUCUUGGACAUCCCACGAGAACUUAGCCAGGAGAUGCCUUUGGUGCCUUCGGGAACUAGUGAGACAGGUGCUUGCAUGGCUGUCGUCCAGCUCCGUGGUKGUGCAAAAUGAUUGGGUUAAGUCCCGCAACGAGCGCAACCCUUAUCCUUUGUUGCCAGCGGUCCGGCCGGGAACUCAAAGGAGACUGCCAGUGAUAAACUGGAGGAAGGUGGGGAUGACGUC